rnacentral:rRNA from 1 species
UGGGGAAUAUUGCACAAUGGGCGAAAGCCUGAUGCAGCGACGCCGCGUGAGGGAUGACGGCCUUCGGGUUGUAAACCUCUUUCAGCAGGGAAGAAGCGAAAGUGACGGUACCUGCAGAAGAAGCGCCGGCUAACUACGUGCCAGCAGCCGCGGUAAUACGUAGGGCGCAAGCGUUGUCCGGAAUUAUUGGGCGUAAAGAGCUCGUAGGCGGUUAGUCGCGUCUGCUGAACUGAACUCGNGCAUCACUCGGGCUUGCAGUGGGUACGGGCUGACUAGAGUGCGGUAGGGGUGACUGGAAUUCCUGGUGUAGCGGUGGAAUGCGCAGAUAUCAGGAGGAACACCGAUGGCGAAGGCAGGUCACUGGGCCGCAACUGACGCUGAGGAGCGAAAGCAUGGGGAGCGAACAGGAUUAGAUACCCUGGUAGUCCAUGCCGUAAACGUUGGGCACUAGGUGUGGGGUCCAUUCCACGGAUUCCGUGCCGCAGCAAACGCAUUAAGUGCCCCGCC